UGAGGGGUAGUUUAACGGCAGAACCGUCGGCUCUGACCCGACUAGUCGUGGUUCGAAUCCACGCCCCUCAG
rnacentral:tRNA from 1 species